rnacentral:rRNA from 2 species
AUUGGUGCUUGCAUCAUGAUUUACAUUUGAGUGAGUGGCGAACUGGUGAGUAACACGUGGGAAACCUGCCCAGAAGCGGGGGAUAACACCUGGAAACAGAUGCUAAUACCGCAUAACAACUUGGACCGCAUGGUCUGAGCUUGAAAGAUGGCUUCGGCUAUCACUUUUGGAUGGUCCCGCGGCGUAUUAGCUAGAUGGUGGGGUAACGGCUCACCAUGGCAAUGAUACGUAGCCGACCUGAGAGGGUAAUCGGCCACAUUGGGACUGAGACACGGCCCAAACUCCUACGGGAGGCAGCAGUAGGGAAUCUUCCACAAUGGACGAAAGUCUGAUGGAGCAACGCCGCGUGAGUGAAGAAGGGUUUCGGCUCGUAAAACUCUGUUGUUAAAGAAGAACAUAUCUGAGAGUAACUGUUCAGGUAUUGACGGUAUUUAACCAGAAAGCCACGGCUAACUACGUGCCAGCAGCCGCGGUAAUACGUAGGUGGCAAGCGUUGUCCGGAUUUAUUGGGCGUAAAGCGAGCGCAGGCGGUUUUUAAGUCUGAUGUGAAAGCCUUCGGCUCAACCGAAGAAGUGCAUCGGAAACUGGGAAACUUGAGUGCAGAAGAGGACAGUGGAACUCCAUGUGUAGCGGUGAAAUGCGUAGAUAUAUGGAAGAACACCAGUGGCGAAGGCGGCUGUCUGGUCUGUAACUGACGCUGAGGCUCGAAAGUAUGGGUAGCAAACAGGAUUAGAUACCCUGGUAGUCCAUACCGUAAACGAUGAAUGCUAAGUGUUGGAGGGUUUCCGCCCUUCAGUGCUGCAGCUAACGCAUUAAGCAUUCCGCCUGGGGAGUACGGCCGCAAGGCUGAAACUCAAAGGAAUUGACGGGGGCCCGCACAAGCGGUGGAGCAUGUGGUUUAAUUCGAAGCUACGCGAAGAACCUUACCAGGUCUUGACAUACUAUGCAAAUCUAAGAGAUUAGACGUUCCCUUCGGGGACAUGGAUACAGGUGGUGCAUGGUUGUCGUCAGCUCGUGUCGUGAGAUGUUGGGUUAAGUCCCGCAACGAGCGCAACCCUUAUUAUCAGUUGCCAGCAUUAAGUUGGGCACUCUGGUGAGACUGCCGGUGACAAACCGGAGGAAGGUGGGGAUGACGUCAAAUCAUCAUGCCCCUUAUGACCUGGGCUACACACGUGCUACAAUGGAUGGUACAACGAGUUGCGAACUCGCGAGAGUAAGCUAAUCUCUUAAAGCCAUUCUCAGUUCGGAUUGUAGGCUGCAACUCGCCUACAUGAAGUCGGAAUCGCUAGUAAUCGCGGAUCAGCAUGCCGCGGUGAAUACGUUCCCGGGCCUUGUACACACCGCCCGUCACACCAUGAGAGUUUGUAACACCCAAAGUCGGUG